GGCCAGACUCCUACGGGAGGCAGCAGUGGGGGAUAUUGCACAAUGGGGGAAACCCUGAUGCAGCGACGCCGCGUGUGGGAAGACGGUCCUCUGGAUUGUAAACCACUGUCCCCAGGGAAGAAGAAAGACGGUACCUGACCAAGAAGCCCCGGCUAACUACGUGCCAGCAGCCGCGGUAAUACGUAGGGGGCAAGCGUUAUCCGGAUUUACUGGGUGUAAAGGGAGCGUAGACGGCAGGGCAAGUCUGGAGUGAAAGGCAGGGGCCCAACCCCUGGACUGCUCUGGAAACUGUCCGGCUGGAGUGCAGGAGAGGUAAGUGGAAUUCCUAGUGUAGCGGUGAAAUGCGUAGAUAUUAGGAGGAACACCAGUGGCGAAGGCGGCUUACUGGACUGUAACUGACGUUGAGGCUCGAAAGCGUGGGGAGCAAACAGGAUUAGAUACCCCGGUA
rnacentral:rRNA from 1 species